GUUGCAGUAGCAAAGCGGUUAAUGCGAGAAUCCUAAAAUUUCUUUAUCAGAGGUUCAAAUCCUCUCUCCAACU
rnacentral:tRNA from 11 species